CCGAUAUGUAUUACUAUAUAUGUUAUGUCGGACCAACAGUUCAAGAAGAAAUCAACAAAAUCUGGAGAAGCGUCCGCCAAAUAAUUGUCGUCUUGAGAAUUGCAAUCGAUCAAAUAGAAAAUUUUGCAAGCACACAAAUCUGAAAGUCCUUGGACAUCUCUUCAAAUCGUAUUGAAAGUGAUUUUUUUACAAUAUACUCAUUAUUGUAAAUAAGAGACGUUUUCGCCUCAAAAAGUGCAUGAAGACAUUGUUUUUAUGUGUUUUUUGUAGGUUUUUCGUUUGUAUUAUUUGUUUAUUUGUAACUUUACUGCAUUUUUAUUGUAUAAAUCUUUUAUAUAUA